AGCUGCCGCUGCUGCCGCCGCCGCCGCCGCUGCUGCUGCUCCUGCCGCUGCUGCCUCCUCCCAGCUCCUGCCUGCAACAGCCAAACCCCGCGAGCGUUUGACACUUGCGGACUUCCACCACUGGAAGGCUGGAGGAAAGGGCCCUGCUACCCCGACUGACCCAGCCCGCCGCCUUAGGGGGACUGCGUCAAGAUCUCUUGACAGGAUGGGAAAUACGUGCAGAAUCUGUUGUUAAUAUAGACAGAAAAUGGAACUGUAGUCUAUGUGCAGCUGUUGUUACUGACUGAAGGAACUUCUUGAGUUAAUAUUAACUUAAGGGACUCCCUUGGGCAAAGUACUGAUAGUGGCCAAAGGCCCUUCGGUCUGACCAUCUUCCGAGAAGCAGAGCUGCUGUAAGGACAGUUCUGACCACUGCCACGUUCUCGGUCCUAGUCUAAGGAGGUCCAUUGUAACGCCGAAAGGAUGGGAAAGGUUUCGUCUAGAUGGUUUUAAUAAUAAAUCCAUUCGCUGCUUUUACAACUA